CAAAUACUUCAUUUCCCUACUUUACAAAUCCCUAACCCUAUCACGUCUCUUGCAGCCUCUCUCUUAUCUCAUCUGGGCUUUCCAUGUCUCGUUCACUGAGAGGGCUUUUGCCUUCCAAUUUCUUUGCCACUCGCUGCUGGUUACCUCCCUCCUACCUCUUUAUCCCAUUUCUAUUAUUGGCUAUUGCUUUCAAUGCUGGUUACUCUUUUAUAUAUAAUAGACAGAGGGUCAUUUUGUUACUGUAGUGAACAAGGUAAGGUUUUUGUUAUUUCAUUUGUCUAUCUGUUAUAUUUAAAUACUAUUGUCGUGGAAUGCCCUUUUCAUUUGAAACGUUCGUACUUCAAAUUGGUGCAGGUUUUUUAUGGUUUAAAACUCUAAUUUGCUGGGUCAUGUUUUAAAGAUGGGCUUUUUUUCUAUGAGUGAUUUUGUCAAUUAUUUGGGCUUACUAGUUCAUUUCAGUAGUUGUUAGCUCCCGCUUUUUGUUAUUUUUGUCCGUACUUUAGAUGGUAUUAUUAAGUUUAUGCCUUUUUCCUUGGAAAUGAAAUAUAUGAACAAUACAAGGAUUACAUAGUGAUGCCAGGAUUUUUAAGUAUAGAGACGAGUGAUUCACAGCAAGAGUCAUGUUUGAUACACCUUCAGCUGAAAUUUAUUAAAAUAAGAGUACUCGGGUGCUGCUUAUGGAUUUGGUUAAUGUGGUGGAUAUUCAUGGAAGCCAUGGGGUUGAAUUAUUUGUUGGAUAUUAUAGUGAUACAUGAGCAACUUCUCAUCCCCCCCCCCCCGUUUGUUACAAAAUUCAAAAUAUGUAUUUUAGUGCUAUUUAAUUUUUAAAUCAAACUCUGUUUGGGUUCUUUCAGAAUUUGAAACCUGCUAUCCCUGAUUAUUGUCCCCUUGCCAUGAGGGCGUUGAUUGAUCAUUGUUGGUCUGUGCAACCGGACAAGAGUCCCAAGUUUUGGCAGAUUGUGAAAGAUCAUGCAUUUGUGCCUAUUGUUGUCAUUAAUAACUCAGGUGAUUGUAUUUGUGCUGUUCAUCCCUUGUGCUGCCUCUAUAUAUAUGAUUUUCUUUUCAUACCAAAACCAUCGGUAGUGCAAUUUUUUAUGUUUAUGUCUCAUGUUUGAAUCCCCCCCUCUCUCUUUCUUCUGCAGCACGAUAAUGCCUUUGGCGAUAGCCGUGAUACAAAGAAAGUUAACAUUCCUAGAUAUGCUGUAAGUCUCUUGAUAUGGCAUUAGUUUAUACUCUACUUUUAUGAAUCAUUCAGUUAAUUGAGUGGAAUUGUAGUUUCAUUUAUAAAAUUAUGCUUCUUUAGUGAAUGCUUUAAGCUUGUAUGCCAAACAAAGAAAAAUCGACAUUGUAUCCUGCAGUUUUUUGUGUUUAUUAGACUUUAGUCAUUGCCACGAGCAUAUAUAUUAAGUGGUGUUUCUCUUCUUGUUAAUAGAUUGUACUCCGCUUUAUUUGGCUGUUAUUUGCAGUAUAUUUUGCCAGAUUUAUAUUAAGGCUAUGCAUGGAUGAAAGGAUAGAAAACGAGGAGAGACAGAUAAUUGCAAUAUGGAUUUUCUGUCCUUUAAGGAGACAAAACUAUUGUCCUUCCUUUGGCUGGGAAUAGGGGUGGAAAAUGAGAGGAAAAGAAGAAAAUAUUAGAGAUGAAAAAUAAUUGUUCUUUUCCUCCCACUUUUCAUUCCAUACAAACAACAAAAAUUACUGCCCUUUCAUUUUUUAUACUUCCAUUUUCAAAUCAACCAAUACUUUCUGCCUUACCAAAUUCCAGAGGAAGAUGUAUGAUAGUGAUAGAAAUUCCUUAGGCUCUUAAUCUUUUUUAGUUGCGAUCUGUCCCUCUUUUCAAAUCAGGCCUUAAGUAAUUAAUCCUCCUUAACCUGCAGCUCUUUCCACACCAUUGAAGCCCUUCAAGAUUAUCACACAAUAGUGUGAUCAGAAACGAAAAACACGAAAAUAAAAUCGAAAAUGGCUGGCGAAAAAUAAAGUUAUUACCAGCUAGUUUAGGGACAGAACUCCAAAAUCGUCCAUAUUUAGUGUGCUUUAUAAGUUUUUCAUCUUCUUCAAGAGACCACAGGCCUUUCCUUAACUACAUAAAUACCCAACUUAAAAGUUCGGCUUAGGUCUCAAAAUCUCAAUUACAGCCUUGGUUGAGUUAUUCUGUAAAUAUGAAUAUAUGAUUAGUCAACGUGGGAAUUUGUAUAUAUAUAUAUACAAAUUUGUAUAUGAUUAGUCAACGUGAGUUAUUCUCAAUAUAUAUAUAUAUAUUUAUAUGUAUGUAUGUAUAUAUAUAUUGAUCUUCCCAAGGUCCUUAACGAAAUUCUUCAUAUUAGACAAUGUCCAGGUAUAUCUCUCUCUUCCCCUCUCUCUUUAUCAUUCCUAAAUUCAAAAACUAUAAAUUUCCAAAUACGAACUUUUCUAUAUUGUUCGUUAAGGAAAUUCUACCCAAAUGAGUGAUAGAGUUGGAGCUAUAUUUCUAAUGAAGAGAAAGGUUCUAAUGAAGAGGAGUGUUACAAUGCUGAAAGGAAUUCCUAUCUUUUGUGUAUUCAAGGGCUUAAAUCUUAUGUAACUAAUGCUUAACGCAAAUAAAUUUUUUUGUGUAUCUACGCUAUUAAGUAGCCAACUAUACUAUAGCACUGCCUUGCACAUGUAUUUAAAAAUAUGUAAUGAAAUUAUCAAUUUUUAUGUAAUUACAAAAUUUGACACUUUCAAUUUUACGAGUCAAUUUACAGAAAUUACUGUACAAAAAAAAAGCUGUUGCGAAACCUACGGCUUUUAAACGUUGCCGUAGGUGACCGUAGGUGUCUACCGCAACAUUUAAAAAAUGUUGCGGUAAGUAUCUACAGCCACAUUUUUUGAUAUCUAUGGCAACGUUUAAAAAAUGUUGUUGUAUUUUUAUGCUCUAUGACGACACUGAGAUUUGCAACAUACGUCCAAACGUUGCAAAAGUUCUACAGCAACGUUUUUUGAACGUUGCAAAAAGCUUUUUUGUUGUAGUUGUUGUUUAUUCCAAAGAGGGGAUACAGGUAUGUAAGAAAUUGUCCAAUCAUAGAACAGAUAUGGAUCUCCUGCUAAACCAACUCAUUUACCAACUCUUCUUUCAAGAAUAAGAGUCAAUUCUUCACGAAGAAGAAUGCAAGUCCUCUUUACUAUUAUGUACAUUAGCAUAUCCAAUUGUUUUCAAAGAAUGACAGUGUUCAUGUGCAUAAGAGCUAUCUUGGAACUUGAAUAAACUUUAAAAUAAAUAAAUAAAUAAAUAAAUAUAUAUAUAUAUAUAUAUAUAUAUAUAUAUAUAUAUAUAUAUAUAUAUAUUGUGCUUGUUACGCCCCUAACUGAACCCACAUCAGGCAAGGUAUGGAAAGUUCAUACGAAGUGGUUUCACUUCGCAAAGUCCUCCACCACAUCGGGCGAAGUGUGGAACGCUCAUACGAAGUGGUUCUUCUAAGUGGUUCCAAUUGAGAUGAUCUGCUAUCACACUACAAGGCAUAGAUAAUUCUGCAUGACUGGCCGAAGUGCCCUAUCCCCCCUGAAUCCGAGGCGAAAUGAUCCCCGUGGACCUCAGCCUGAGGAUCCACUGCCGAUUUCAUAAUGAGAUUUUAGUCAAGAUCUUUUAUGCCAAUAAGGUUUAAAGUGAUUUGACGUCUCCAUGAGACUAGUUGAUGUGACCUAUCAACUUUAUGUCAACUCAACUCGGGAGAAGUAAUUACCCGCCCGCUCUACAGACGCAGCUAAUUGACGCCUAUGAGCAGACGCCUCAUAUCGUUAGAUGUAUACACGUGUCUCACAUCCAACGGCUCUCCUCACCUAUAAAUACCCAAGGUUUGGCAAUAGGCAAAGGUAAUAAAAUUCUUCUUAUUUAGCACUCCAUAGCAAGCAAAUAUAUAUUCUUCUCCCCAUUAUUUUGCACAACCUUGGUACUAUUCCGAUCACUUGAGCCUAACUUGACCGUCGGAGUGUAUACGGUCGCCACCACCCCCGCCAGUCCUAACCAUGUGCAUCUGACCGUGCGUUGAUUGUGCGCAGGGAGGAAUACGUGGAGUGGCUAUCGAUUGGCCACGUGGGGGGUCUAAUUUUCGAGGCCAACAGAUUGGCGCCGUCUGUGGGAAUCUUCCCGUUCAAAGUUCUACAUUCUCCAUUGGAGAAAACACUGGAAAACUAACAGCUUACCCUGAAAAGGGCACGUUCUUAAAAAAGAACAAAGCCAAGUUAUAUCCUAAAUUCUUAUCACCCUUGAAAAAGAAGAUAGAAUGAGUUCCAGCCAUGAAGAUGACAAUCCCAUGAGAGAGGCUUCUGAAGAAGAGGUGCUCCAUAACAAUGUCACUCACCAGAGACCCAUUCACCGAUAUCACCGAGGUACAAGAACAGUCAUGCUCACUAAAGGGAUGGCUCAAAUAGCGGCGGGCAUGAGAGACAUCGCAUCUCAGAAUAUAGCGAUGCAUGUUCUCAUGCAAGCCCAAGGUCAUCAGGACUAUUAAAUGCCCCAAGGAUCUUACCUAGUGCAGGAAGCCCCUGUAUCUCGUUCCCAAGGCUAUAUGAGCCGGCACAGAGAACGCCCCCUCAAAAGAGAAGUGGGCGCGGAAGCCACAUCUUAUGUGCAGGGAAGCCAGUCAGCGGAACCACAGCUAAGGGACAAUUUUCCUCAAGAAUAUGAGGAACAAAGAUCAGUAAGCGUCUUCGACCGAACAGGACAGGACCCUAGUAAUAGGGCCCGCUCAGUGCAAAGAUCAGUUCGAAAAGACCAAGAACAAGAACAUGCACCUCCUCCUAGAAAUAGGAGAGAUAGAAGGAACCUAGUCGAUUGGGAAAGUCGAGGAGAAGCACCUCCACCUCCACCUCCACCUCCGCAGGAUAUUCAAGAUAAUGAAGGGUCAGAUGGGCCCUGUCGAUCUUAUGAGAUCGAUGAUGAUGAUGUAACCUCCAUUUUUCAAGGGAGAUCCGAAGCUUCCGGAUGUCGACGAACUUUAUACCCCCUAAGAUCCUCAAGUAUAAAGGAAAGGGGGACUCGGAGAAGUACCUCACCAAGUACAUGACACAGAUGAGCCUCCGGGGAGCCUCGCAUGCUUUGAAAUGCAGAGCCUUCCACUUAACCCUGGGCGGAGCUGCUGAAGUGUGGUAUAGCAGACUUCUUCCCCUGAGCAUUAGGAAUUGGCCAGAUUUGAAGAAGACAUUCUUAAACCAAUACCUCUCACGCAGGGAAGGAGAGGCACCAGUGCAACGCCUACAAGAUAUGAGGCAGGCCCCUGUAGAGACACUAAAAUGCUAUCUCGUCAGGUUUACAGUCGAAAUCACAUACUGGGAAUAGGUUACUGAUAGGAAGCCCUUUCAGCUCUGAAAGGCAGCCUCAACAUGAACACUUUGAUUUGGAGAGACGUGCGCAACAAGCAUCUUACCAACUAUGACGAACUGGUGGAAAUGAUGAGAGUAGAAAUUCUCAGUGAGGAAAUGAUUGAUCAUCGAAACCGUGUCGAGCAGGGAUUCCCUCUGCCUCAGAGGUAGGUAGGUCGAGGACUCGCAGCACACCUCGUCACUCAGUAGUAGACUCAAGAAAGUCAUGCAAUAGCUCCCACCUCCGGACAGGCACUGGCUUCCACCACAUUGAAUGCGGUGCCGGUAUUGGCAUACGAGAAUACUCCUGGCGAAGCAGGACCAUCCGAAAGAGCUGAUAGUAAGAAGAAGAUGAAGAAAAAAAGGUCAAACAGGCCCUUGGAAGGGGCGAGGUUUUGCACUUUCUACCAACUCUAUGGGCAUGACACUAGUGAAUGUCGAGACGCCAAUCGACGCCCUGAUCGAAGCAACCCACACUCUUCCAGCAGGAGUGAAUAUACUCGUAGAUCCGCCUCUCCGAACAAGGGAGAGAGAGGACAUAGAGAGCAAUCACCUCGGAGAAGAGAAUCAAGAGACCGAGGUCAGUAUAGACAGAGAGAUAAGGCCCCAUUCUCUGGGAGCCAAGUCAUCAAGGAGAUCAACACGAUCAUUAGGGGACUUCACAUUGGUGGCAACAUCAGGAACGCCCAAAGGAAUUACACAAGGGAAGCAAAUGACCCGUCAAUGAUUACCUACAUUGUUAGUGAGUCACAAGUGGUUGAUAAGAUGGCCCCAAUCACCUUCUCCCAAGAAGAUGCAAAUGGAGUUCACCACCCCUAUUGUGACGCAUUGGUUGUAAGAGCCGUAGUGGCUAGAAACGAACUCAAACGUAUGCUUAUCAACAAUGGAAGUUCGGUGAACAUACUGUUCGGCUCCACCUUCGACAAAAUGCAAAUUGAAUAUGGUUUGAUCCCCAUGACCGACCCACUAUUCGAAUUUACUGGAGACAGCAUCGUCCCACGAGGGCGGAUCACUCUACCCGUCGAGAUGGGGUCAGCACCCCUAGUAGCCCAACACUUUAUGGAAUUCUUAGUGGUAGACCACAGAUCGGCUUAUCAUGGAGUAUUGGGCAGACCCGCUUUGAAAGAUCUUUGGGCCGUCACUUCCAUCCACUUCUUGUGUAUGAAAUUCUCAACUGAAUAUGGGAUUGCUAUGUUCUGAGGUGACCAAAUGGGCUCUAGGGCAUGUUAUUUGAACUCUCUGAGAAAGUCGGAGCCCCGAAUUGUUAACGUGAUGAUAAUUGAAGAUGCUAAUGAAGCCAGUAUGGACGUGGAAAUGCUCGACGCUCCUGAACAAGGGCAUACCUUCAACAGGAAGAAGACGUCAACAUGGAAGAGGCCCCUGAACAAGGACACCCUCUUGAUGAGUUAGAUCCCCAGAUAAUUGACUCUGAACCAAAUGCAACCCCAAUGGAAGAACUAGAGACUUUCUCUGCAACCCAGAGGACCCCAGUCAGGUCUUGCGAAUAGGAAAGGCACUGCCCCCUGAAGUCAAAGAGGAGAUGGUAAGCUUCCUGAAAAGAAACUUGGAUGUCUUCGCUUGGAAGCAUGAGGGCAUGGUGGGGGAUAGAUCCAAGGAUCAGUUGUCACCAUCUUAACAUCAACUCCUCCUGUACCCCUCAUCGGCAGAAAAGACGUGCCCUCAACCCAGAAAUGUACGAGGCUCUCAAAGAGGAAAUAGGCAAGCUUAGCCGUGGUGGUUUCAUAAGGGAAGCCAUCUACUCGAAGUAGAUAUCCAACCCGGUCCUGAUGAAAAAACCCAGUGAGAAGUGGAGGGUGUGCGUAGACUUUACCAACUUGAAUAAGGCGUGCCCUAAAGACAGCUUCCCACUUUCAAGAAUAGACCAACUUGUGGAUUCCACUGCUGGACAUGAACUGUUGAGGUUCAUGGAUACAUAUUCAGGGUACAAUCAGAUACCCAUGUUUCGACCUGACGAGGAAGCUACUUUAUUCAUCACAGACAGAGAACUCUACUGCUACAAAGACAUGCCCUUUGGAUUGAAAAAUGUCGAAGCCACAUAUCAGAGAUGGUCAACAUGAUGUUGGCCGAACUAAUUGGCAAAACCAUGGAGGUCUACGUGGAUGACAUGCCAGUCAAAAGCCUCCAAGCAAGCAAACACGUAAGUCACCUCGUCUAAAUCUUUCAGAUGCUUAGAAAAUAUAAGAUGAAGUUGAAUCUCCUCAAGUGCACCUUUGGGGUGAUUUUGGGUCAGUUCUUGGGGUAUAUUGUUAACCAAAGAGGAAUUGAAGCCAAUCCAGUAAAGAUAACGACCUUGCUGGAAAUGAGAUCACCUCAGAACCAAAGGAGGUCCAAAGCCUCAAUGGUCAAAUAGCCGCAUUCAGUCACUUUAUCUCCAGGGCCACUGAUAAGAACUUACCCUUCUUCAAGGUACUUAAGCAAGGAAAGAAGUUCCAAUGGGCUUCUGAGUGCGAAGAAGCCUUCCAGGGGCUGAAAAAGCACCUCGAAGAGGCACCUCUUUUGUCAAAACCUCAACUAAAGGAGUCUCUGCUGCUGUAUUUGACAGUAUCGGACGUGGCGGUUAGCGCUGUUCUAGUCAGAGAAGAAAAUGAGCGAUAGUUGCCAGUAUACUACAUUAGCAAAUCACUCCUCCCAGCUGAAACAUGAUACCCAGACAUAGAGAAAUUGGCACUUACCCUCAUCACAGCCUCAAGGAAACUGAGGCCAUACUUCCAGGCCCACUCGAUUGACGUUCUUACCAACUUCCCAUUGAAGCAGGUGCUGUAGAGAACAGAUGCAUCAGGGCGCCUACUAAAAUGGGCAAUCGAGCUGAGCGAGUUCCACAUAUUAUUUUGACCUCGGCGUGCUAUAAAGGGCCAGGCCCUUGCAGAUUUUGUGGUUGAGUUUGCCGAAGCCUCGAAAAUGGAGGCAAUAAUGGAACUAGCCAAACCCCCAACCUGAAAAUUGUUCGUAGAUGGAUCCUCAGGAGAGGCAGGCUCCGGGGCAGGAAUAGUUUUGGAAAGCCUAGAGGGUCACAAGCUAAAUUGCACAGUAAGGUUUAGCUUCAAAGCCUCGAACAACGCUGUCGAAUACAAAACCCUUCUAGCGAGCCUUAGACUGGCAAGAGAAAUGCAGGUCAGAAAGUUGAUGGCCAGCAGUGAUUCUCAGCUGAUAGUGAAUCAUGUCAGUGGAAGCUUUGCGGCCAAAGACAACGGCAUGGUCGCAUAUUUGAAAUUGGUUCUGGACCUAGUCCCCCAGUUUGAAAGGUUUGAACUAAUUCAAGUCCCACGCCUAGAGAAUGCACAUACAGACACCUUCUCAAAAUUGGCCAAUAGCAAGGAUUCUGAGUUAUUAAAAGUUGUCCCUAUUGAACACUUGGCGAAGCCUUCCAUUUUCGGAAGAGAAGAGGUACUUUGGAUAGAAGGCACCCCAUUAUGGAUGCAACACAUCAUCGCCUAUCUAAAGGAUCAGACACUACCUAUUUCCAGAAGCGAGGCAAGGAAGUUGAGGAGAAGGGCUGCGCACUUCGUCCUGAAAGAGGAUAUGCUCUAUAAAAGAGGCUUCACCUCACCACUUCUCAGAUGUAUGGGAGACGAAGAGGCCACAUAUAUACUUAGGGAAAUUCAUGAGGAAAUCUGUGGAAAUCACUCCGGAGGAGUGGCCCUGGUACAUAAGGUUCUCCGUCAAGGCUACUUCUGGGUGACCCUGAAAGGGGAUGCUUGCUAGUUUGUUCAGAAAUGUGACAAGUGCCAGCACUUCUCGAAUGUUCAAAGGCAGUCUUCUCAGAACCUCUCUGUGGUAACCUGCCCCUGGCCAUUCGCCAAGUGGGGCAUCGACUUCAUUGGUCCACUCCCUAAAGGAAGAGGAAGCGCGACCUUCACCAUUGUCGCCAUUGACUACUUUACCAAGUGGGUCGAGACUGAACUUCUUGCAAAGAUUACCGAGGCAAAUACUACAAAAUUUGUCUGGAAGAAUAUCAUUUGCAGGUUUAGUAUUCUCCACUCCUUAGUGUCCAACAAUGGGAGACAGUUCGACGACAGGAAAAUGCGGGAAUUGUGCGACGAAUUGGGGAUAAAAAAAGAUUUCUCAAUGCUUCAUCACCCGCAAGCAAAUGGAUAAGUUGAGGCAGUAAACAAAACCAUCAAGCAUACCCUGAAAAGGACGCUUGACACAUCUAAAGGGGCUUGGGUCGAUGAACUUCCCCACGUCCUCUGGGUAAUCCGAACCACAAACCGAACUGCCACUAGGGAAACACCAUUCUCUAUAACCUACGGGGCCGAGGCCAUGAGCUCGGUCGAGGUUGGUGUCCCAUGAUACCGUCGAAUACACUUCAACGAGAUCAGUAGCGACGAGGCUCGGGUGAAUGAACUCUACCUCCUUGAAGAAAGGAGGGAUACCUCCCAGGUGAAUUUGGCAAAGUAUCAUAAGAAGAUGACCCGCUAUUAUAAUUUUAUGGUCAGAAGCCGAACUCUUCGCCUGGGGGACCUCAUCCUCAAGAGGGUCUUCCAAUCAUCAAAGUUAACCGGGUCAGAAGUGUUUGGACUGAACCGGAAGGGUCCUUACUGCAUCCGCAAGGAAUCCUGAAUUGGCACUUUCGAAAUUGAAGACAUGGCAAAGAAGGCACUACCUCAUCAAUGGAACAUCAAACACUUAAGGAAAUAUUAUCAGUGAUGGGUUUUUGUUCUGAUCCGAUCUCGAUGUUGUCUGAUAAGUGCGUGUCCCGAUCCAAUCUCAUUUGUAAUUUUCCUAUCUUACUGAGCGCUGAAAAUGCCUUGGUAAUGGAUAACGUAACUUUUUAAGUAUUGAUACUUCAGUUCUUUGUCACAUUGGUUAUCAAAUUGUUACAUCAAUCCCUUAGUAUGAUUACUUAAGUGGUCCGAUCUUCUGAUUGUUGUUAAGAGAUGCUUAGUCUUAAAAGUUUGUCAUUCAUAUAUGCGUAAACGGAUUAAUACGAUAAGAAAGUAGAAGCAAUAACACUUGGUAUCUUUUUUUUUCAUUUCAUUCACUUCAAAUUUACAAGAGGUCGAAGCCAUUACAAAGUAAGCCUACUCACGGGAGGCUCCUCCCCGCCAGCCUCUGCCCUGCCAGCCCCGGGAGCUGCUGGAGUGUCCUCUGCCAACCUAUCAGGCCGGCUUCCAGUAGGUCCCUCGAACUCUACCUCUAAAGAGGAGAUGUCCAAAGUAGGGUGGACCUUUUUUAGCCGACCCAAUAUGCCUUGGGCAGUCCAGGAGGCCCAUAAAUUUGCAAAGUCGUCGUACAGGGGAUGUUCCUCGAAGUGGUCAAUGAAAUUUUGAACAGCCACUUCCCUUGUCGACUUCAGUUCCUCCUUCAGGGAGGCAAUUUCCUCAGACUGGGCCUCCGUCCUCUACCUUAGCUUAGCUUUCUCUUUAUUGGAGGUCUCCAGAGCCUCCGUGGCGAGCCGGUGGUGCUCGUUGGCAUGAUCUACACUUCGGGUCAAGGCAGCCACCUGACAUUCCACUUCAUACAGCUCCUUUUUCAGUCGCUCUAUUUUUCCUGCAGCAACCAUCAGCUGGGUCUCAGCCUCCGUCCUCCUUUUCUCUUCCUCCGCAGCAUUGGCCCAAGCCUCCCUCACUUUGUCCCCAUGUUGCAUCUCCUCCUCGAAGCGCUUGACAAGGUCCUCCUUUUUGGAGUUGAGGUCCUUCACCAAACCUUCGAGUUGGAUGCUGGUGCUCAGAGCCCAGGCCACGUAGGCACUAUUGGCUGCCACCAAGUCCUCGGCUGUGCAAGAGGUGGUGUGGUCCAUCCACUCUUCAAUCCAAUACUUAUUGUGGACCAUCGCCACUGCAGCCGUUUCUGGGAGGAGAGCCUCCAGUACUUCUUUAACUAGCUCCUCGAAGUUCGAGCCCAGAAAGUCUACCUCCUUUGAGGGAUGGGCUCUUUUCUUCUUAGGCUCCUCGGUACCUAGGCAAGAGAGAUGGUAGCAACUGGCGUCUUGGCCGGGGCAGGUGGAGCCUCUGAUGGCAUGGACGUUCUCUCCGGAAUGGCCACCCUGGUAGGAAUUGUGGUUUGCCUCAGAAUAGGGGGUAGCCUUGCAAACGUUGGCCGCUUCAAAGGGGCUGAGGUUUCUUCCCCUUCCGAAGCAGAUUAGCCUCUGGAUCCUUAAGCACCUCCUCCUCUGUCGGAGGCGGGAGCCUCUUGCUGGCAUCUACUAUGUCCUCCAUCUACUUCUUGUAAGAGGAGGAGGAGGUCUUCAAGGUCCUCGCUUAGGCCAUCAUCUUCUGUAUUGUUUUGAAGUCGGGCCAGAGAGGCAUCUUCUUAUUGAAGUUAUCUGCAAGAAACAAGUAAAUUAGUACAAGUGUAAACGACUCGAAAAUAUUCAAAGGUAUUCGCUUCGAGACAUUACCUUGUGAGACCAUCAGGUCGUGUGUCACAAAAUGAAGGUUCUUUCUGAUCAGUCGAUGGAACGACCUCUUCUUUGGAGGCAGUUGAUAGAUCAUGCAGAUGAUCUCGAAAUUGUCUGAAGAUAGCUCGCAAUGAAGAAGAGUGCCUUCAAAAAAUGAAUACGAGUGUUAGUUAUAAUUCGAACCGAAGAGAAUAAAAAAGAAAUAUAGCUACAAUACUCACUAAGUGUCGAGUACUUCGUGGGGACCGUAAGAAGUGUCAGGGGGUCCCUCUCCAUUGUGUCCCAUCUCCCGAUAGCCUAGCACCACGAGCUCUUCCACUCCUUGAUGGAGCUCAGCAAAUCGAGCACGAAUGGAGUGUGGAAACCCCAAGAGGUCAGGUAAUACCAGCCCUUAGUCUUAUCCUCCCCCCCCCGGCUGUUACUUUCGGAAUAUAGAGGGUCUGAAAAAUUGAGAAGGGCAUCUCCACUUCUAGUGACGCCUCUUUCCAUAACAUCCAGGAGCCCACCAUCUGGCUCCAAGAGUUCGAAUUCAGUUGGGUCGGUGCUAAGCCGUAAGACCUAAGCACCAUCUGGAAAAUGGGUGAAUUGGAAGCCUAUGGCCAGCCCUAAAGAUCACCUCGCUUAUCGCUACACGCCCUGGCCUAGGGUAGCAGACCCUCUCGGAAGGCUCGGGUAGGAUCAGGUCUACGCUAUCAGGUAUCCUAUAUUCGGUCCUAAGUCUUUUUAGGUCGACCUCCUUUAGCUUGGAGGGGUAAUUCGACGCCCCCAAUGCACAGAGAUAUCUACUGGGCUAUCUGGCCUCUUCCAAAUAUUCUCUCCCUAGUAUCGCCUCGGCUACUUCGGAUGAGGUCGCCACAAUGGGCUUAUCCAUCCGUAAGAACUCUAGCCCCCUUCUCGAACUAGCAUUACCCUCGGAGGCCAUUUUCAGAAAGAAAAAAUCUCAAAAUAGUUACUAAAACUUACGAGUUUGAGUGUUCCCCAGUCGAAAAUGGUCAAAAAGUGGUGCGUGGUCGUCGGAAAACCAAAGUUCUCGCCGAAAAUGCUUGACGAACGCCGAAAAUCGCAAAGAGAUUUGAGAGCAAUGGAGUUUUCUAUUUUUGCAAGAGUAAAAAACUCAAAAAGUGCUCAACUCCUCUUUUUAUAGAGCACUCCAACUAAUCUCCCACCGUUAAAUUCAAAUGCAAUUAAUCUAGGCUGUCCGUCGCACCAUCAAUCUAGGCCGUUGAAAUGAAACACCAGAUUUGAUCUACGGCUAAGAUCUUGUUGUGAUCCUCACACUCACAUAUAACACGUCACCUCGAUCACCACCAACCGUCAACAAUAAGUAGCCACAGCAGCCUUUUAGGGGAAUGGGCGUUGCAUCCAACUGUCACCUUGGAAAUACACAGCAGCUGUCAAAUCAUUUAACGUCAGACACGUCCGCCUCGGAUCGAGCUCCUCACUCAACCUUACAAAGUUUAGGCGUACCUGACGUGGAGUCCCCUGUGGGUCAUUGCUUCGAUCGCUGCGCUCGCUCCUAAGCUUUACAAAGUUUUAGCCAUCUCCCAACGCGUCAUCCCUUGUGGGUCAGCGCACCGGUGGCAGAUGAGCUCUUCACUCAACUUUACAAAGCUUAGGCGUACUUGACGAGGAGUCCCCUGUGGGUUAUCGCCUCGGUCGCUGCGCUCCCUCCUAAACUUUACAAAGUUUUAGCCAUCUUCCAACGCGUCGUCCCCUGUGGGUCAGCGCACCGGUACAUAUAAGCUCCUCACUCAACUUUACAAAACUUAGGCGCACCUGAAGUGGAGUCCCCUGUGGGUCAUUGCCUCAGUCGCUGCGCUCCCUCCUAAACUUUACAAAGUUUUAGCCAUCUCCCAACGCGUUGUCCCGUAUGGGUCAGUGCACCGGUGGCAGAUGAGCUCCUUACUCAACUUUACAAAACUUAGGUGCACCUGACGUGGAGUUCCCUGUGGGUUAUCGGCUCAGUCACUGCACUCCCUCCUAAGCUUUACAAAGUUUUAGCCAUCUCCCAAUGCGUCGUCCUCUGUGGAUCAGCGUACCGAUGGCAGAUGAGCUCUUCACUCAACUUUACAAAACUGAGACGCACCUGACGCCGAGUCCCCUGUGGGUCAUCUCCUCGGUCGUUGCAUUGACAAUCUCCCCACACAUCGUCUAGCUCGUCAACACCUCGACCUCGCGUAAAUUUUUUCCCUCACACAGUGGUGAAGAUUUAGCGCAUCUACCAAUGAUCAACGCUUCGGUGAACACAGAAAAUUGACCCUCAAGUUCUCACAAAUCACGAUUCCCAUCCCAAGGCGCAUAUACCCGAUCGGGAAGACAAAGUCCACCCAUGAUAUAAAUAUUCAUACCUGGACUUGGGAGACCACUGUUACGUCCCUAACUGAACCCACAUCAGGUGAGAUAUGGAACACUCAUAUGAAGUGGUUCAACUUCGAAAAGUCCACCACCACAUCAGGCGAGGUCUGGAACGCUUAUAUGAAGUGGUUCCAAUUGAGAUGAUCUUCUAUCACACUACAAGACAUAUGUAAUUCUGCAUGACUGGCCGAAGCACCCUAUCCCCCUGAAGCCAAGGCGAAAUGAUCCUCGUGGACCUCAGUCUGAGGAUCCGCUGUCGAUUUCAGAAUGAGAUCUUUGUCAAAAUCUUUUCUGCCCCUAAGGUUUAAAGUGAUUUGACGUCUUCAUGAGGUUAGUUGAUGUGACCUAUCAACUUUAUGUCAACUCAACUUGGGAGAAGUAACUACCCGCCCGCUCUACAGACGAGGCUGAUUGACGCCUAUGAGCAGACGCCUCAUAUCGUUCAGAUGUAUACACGUGUCUCACAUCCAACGACUCUUCUCACCUAUAAAUACCCAAGGCUUAGCAAGAGAUAAAGUUAAUGAAAUUUUUCUUAUUUAGCGCUCCAUGGCAAGCAAAUAUAUAUUCUCUUUCCCACUAUUUUGCACAACCUUGAUACUAUUCCGAUCACCUGAGUUUAACUUGACUGUUGGAGCGUAUACGGUCGUCGUCACCCCCGCUGGUCUCGGUCGUGUAUAUCUGAUCGUGCGUUGAUUGUGCGCAUGGAGGAAUACGUGGAGUGGCUAUCGAUUGGCCACGUGGAGGAUCCAAUUACCGAGGUCAACAGUGCUGAUAACGAGUUAUAUAAAGAGAGAAAAGAGAAAAAAAAAUAAAGAGAAGUUAAUAGAUUUGUAUGCAUUUUAUUAAGAAUCAGAGCACUAUAUUUAUAGGUAAGAAUCAAGAAUACAAUGAUAAUAAUUUUUAGGGCUGUAUGAGUAAAAUUGUCAUUUACUAAUAAAUCUUAAUAAUCUUGCCAUUUACAACAAUAUUUGAUUUGUGAAUAAUGAAACUCUGACCCUAUUUUUUUAGAAUAUUGAUCUUUAAAUAUUGGGUAGCACAUAAUUUCCACUUCAAAUUUUCCCUUUUCCAAAGACCACUGAUAUUCCUUGAAAUCCUUAUGCAAUGGCCAAACUUUCACUAUUCAAACCAAUAAAAGUUUUCAUGUUUUUCUAUGUAGGAUAAGUUAUGGCAAUAUAAUCAGAUUCUUCUAUAUAAAGUUCAAAGUGGUCAACUGAAUCAAAAUAUUAGAUACAAAACUUAAUGGUUUUUGACAAAAUAAAUAUAUCAUGUUAAUCUUGUCGUAGAGUAUAACAUGAAAAUUCUUGGUCUGGUAAAUUUUGGAUUACAGGUUCUACUUAAAUUUAGGCUCAAAUUUGACCAUUUUACAAUCGUAAAACCCAUUUUUUUCCCCAACAUAUGAUUCACAUAAUUUGUAAUAGGAAAAUUACAAGAAUUUGCUAUAAUACCGGUUGGUUACCAUUCCAAAGACAGAAAUUUUGGGCGCCAGAUCUACAAGAUUAAUGCUAUUAAUAGCAUUUAUUGUGUUUAACGUAUAAUAGGGCCAAUAGAUUGGUCUUGUCCAUACAUUUAAUUGAAUAUAGAGUAAUGUUAUCUAUAGUCGCUCAUUGAGGUAGUCGCCUACGUUGCAUCUUACAUGGCGAUUUGUGAUUUGAUUCAUUAAUGUGUUAGUUUUUUAUUUGGUCUCACGCAUCAAAUUACUAAUAGACACAUGUGUACCACAUAGAACGAAUGUGAUAGUGAGCGAAUAGCAUUAUUCUUGAAUAUAUCACUUCAUGUUAUAUAUCUUGACAACUAGACUAGUGUUAAAUACCAUUUGUGCUAGAUUUACAAAGGUCAAUUCCACAGCUAUGAAUCCAUUAUGCAUGAUUUCGAUUCUUGAUAUCUAAUUCAUUUAUCCUUAUAACUCGCAAAUAUUCAAGUAAUCAAAAAUUUGAUCUGGUGCAUAUAUGCACCCUACUCAUAUAUAUUGCACCACAAAGAAUUAGGAGUCAUGACACAAAUUAAACUAAAACGUGAAAUGGCAUUUUCUUCUCCCUGCUUGUUUUUGUUCAUUCUCGUUUCAGUAACCUGUCUUUAUUUCCAAUUCACAUCUGCAGAAACCGACAUGAAAGCUUCUGAUUUGGUUAGUGAAAUAUGCUCGAAAACACGAAAUAUCUCCGAGUGUUUGUAUGAAUUAAGAGGAGACGAGGGAAAAAACCUUAGCCAAAUAGCCCAAUCAUUAACUUUCGUAGCACGUGUUACGGCAUUUUUAGUGAAUGACAUAGCUCAAUUGUGUGAAAAACAAGUAAAAAAUUAUCUCCAGAAGGAGAGAUGUCGUUCGUGCGUGGAGAAUUAUGUUCGUAUCAUGGAAGAUCUUGUAGAUUGGAAGCAAUCUGUCGACUCUGGAAACUAUCAAAAUCUGCCAUCAAAAGCAGAUGCCAUGUCGAAAGAGGCUGAAUCAUGUGACAAAAACUUUGAACAGCCACCAAGUGAACCUCCACAACUCAUACUAGGCACAAAAACUUUUCUAGAUAUUUGUAGCAUCCUUGUGGUUGUUUCCUAUAAAUUAGCAGGUCGAAUUAUCUAAUUUUUAUUUAAUUUCGAAAGUAUAAUCUACAAAAUAAUGCUUAUCGUUGACCUCAAUUAAGGAAAAUUUUCUGCGUUAAUUACC
rnacentral:lncRNA from 1 species